UAGAUACCCUAUUAUUCUAGUAGAAAUUAAUAAAACUUGAGUAGUAAAAAGUUAUGAUCUUUAAACUUAAAGGAUUUGGCGGUAUUUUAGUCUAGUUAGAGGAGCCUGUUUUGUAAACGAUAAACCACGAAUAAUCUUACUUUCUUUGGUAGUCAGUUUGUAUACCGUCAUUAUUAGAUAAUUUUAAUAGAUAUUUAUUGUAAUAUAUAAUUUUAAUAUAUUAGAUCAAGGUGCAGCUAAUAGGAAAGUAAAUUAAUGGGCUACAAUUAUAUUUGGUAAAUACGAAUAUUUGUUUGAAAAGCAUUCUGAAGGAGGAUUUAAUAGUAAUCUUUAUUUAAUAAGGUUAGAUGAUAUAAGCUCUAGAAUAUGUACACAUCGCCC
rnacentral:rRNA from 1 species